GAUGAACUAAUGCGAAAGCAUUUAUCAAGGAUGUUUUCAUGUGAUCAAGAACGAAAGAAAAGGGAUCAAAGACGAUCAGAUACCGUUGUAAUCUUUCUGUCUGUAAACGAUGCCGACCAAGGAUGGGAAGCCCAAAUUGACUGAAAUAUUGUCAAUCGGUUGCUAAUGUCCUUCAAGUGACGCGAGUCGUCUUUUUUUUUUUUAAACGAGAAAGAAAGUGGUUCGAUAGUUUGAAGGUAAUGCCCUUUCCCGAACUUUGUGAGAAAUCAUUGAGUCUUCUGGUUCUGGGGGAAGUAUGGUCGCAAGACUGAAACUUAAAGAAAUUGACGGAAUGAUACACCAGACGUGGAACCUGCGGCUUAAUUCGACCCAACACGUGGAAACUCACUAGGUUAGGACAAGCGAAGGAUUGACAGAUUGAAAGCUCUUUCUUGAUUGUUUGGGUGGUGGUGCAUGGUCGUUGUUGGUUGGUGGUUUGAACUGUCUUCUUAAUUGAGAUAACGAACGAGACCUUUGCGCUUAAAUCUAGGUUGAUGAUAGAUUAAUUUUUUGGGGUAAUGCUCAGAGUAUGAGGGUGAAGGUAAGCGGUUAUAUCAUGACAGAGGUAAAACUUUGCUAUGGUGUAACUUUCCUUUGUCCAUACUUACUAGUCUAUCACUCAAGGUGUUAUUUAAGAUUGAUGUUAAAAAGUUAGUCUUGGGUAAUAUCAUUUGAAAAAAUUCCUUCUUAAGCGGACUAUUAUUUAAAAUCAUUAAAACCGAUUUUAAAAAUUUUUUGGUGUUAAACCAAAGGAAGUUAAAGGCAAUAACAGGUCUGUGAUGCCCUUAGAUAUCUUAGGCCGCACGCGCGUUACACUGCUAGUUUCAAAGAGUAGUUGAAAAGAUUUGUUUAAUCUUAUGAUGGUUUCACGAUCAUUGUAGGGUUCGUCUUUUUUUCAUCCUUGUUCGAAAGGACUGGGUAAUCUUAAAGAACUACUAGCGUGAUGGGAAUAGCCGGUUGCAAUUAUCCGGCUUGAACGAGGAAUUUCUAGUAAUCGUAGUUCAUCAGACUGCGAUGACUAAGUCCCUGUCCUUUGUACACACCGCCCGUCGCUGCUUCCGAUUGAAUGAAGUGGUGAACACUUUGGAGAAAAUGUUUUUUUUUUCUGUCAAAGGAAAAAAGAAAAUAAAUUUUAAAAAGUUUCGAAGUUGUGUAAACCCUUUCAUUUAGAGGAAGCAGAAGUCGUAACAAGGUUUCCGU
rnacentral:rRNA from 1 species